rnacentral:lncRNA from 1 species
AAUGUAAUUUAUAUUUGAAUUUUUGGCUAAUCAAAUGACAUAUGUUUUAUUGUCUUGCAGUUAUAUUAAUGAGCAAUAUUUAAUUAAAAGCUAAUUGAAUAUUCCAAGCGGCAAUUAUCUUGCAAUAGAGAUGCCAAAUCUGACAUGAGGAGGCAGGUGAGCAGAAAGCAGAACUUGUAUAAUUAUUCCUCUGAGAGAUGGAGAAGAGACCACACCAAGCAUUGCCACAGUGAGAGAUUAGUGAAGAUUCUGCCCUAAACAAAACCAUUUCCUUCGUUGAGCUUAUAUUGUACUUUCUUCAUCAGGAAAGGAAGAAAAGCAGGCCCAAGAUUAUUCUGAGACAACUGGAGGCCUCUUGUGUUCAGCACCUGGAUUGUGCUCAGGAUGGCAAGAGAACAAAGCAAUCUGCUUGCUGUACUUGGGAUAGAGAAGACCUGCACGAGAAAGCCAGAUAUUCAAGAUGGUGUGAUUUCUAUCACAAGCUCUGAAGGACAGCAUGGCAGGACUUAACUGCAGACCAGUGUUUUCAUUAGAAGGAACGAACUGCCUGUAGAUGUGUCCUUACAACUCCAUUGUGCUCUGAACAGCUUCUUGCUGACCGCUGCCUCAAUAUCAGUGAUUCCACCUUAGACCAUAAGCUCCAUGAGGGUAAGAAUCAAGUACUUGUUUUGUUUUGUUUUUGUUACCGUAUGGACUCAGUGACUAGCACAGGCUGU